rnacentral:rRNA from 1 species
GACAGAGGGGGGCAAGCGUUGCUCGGAAUCACUGGGCGUAAAGGGCGCGUAGGCGGGAUGGCAAGUCAGUCGUGAAAUCUCUCGGCUCAACCGAGAAACGUCGGCUGAUACUGCCGUUCUUGAGGGAUGCAGAGGAGACUGGAAUUCCCGGUGUAGCGGUGAAAUGUGUAGAGAUCGGGAGGAACACCGGUGGCGAAGGCGGGUCUCUGGGCCGUAACUGACGCUGAGGAGCGAAAGCGUGGGGAGCGAACAGG